rnacentral:rRNA from 1 species
GAUGAACGCUGGCGGCGUGCUUAACACAUGCAAGUCGAACGGUGAAGCCAAGCUUGCUUGGUGGAUCAGUGGCGAACGGGUGAGUAACACGUGAGCAACCUGCCCUGGACUCUGGGAUAAGCGCUGGAAACGGCGUCUAAUACUGGAUAUGAGCCUCUUCCGCAUGGUGGGGGUUGGAAAGAUUUUUUGGUCUGGGAUGGGCUCGCGGCCUAUCAGCUUGUUGGUGAGGUAAUGGCUCACCAAGGCGUCGACGGGUAGCCGGCCUGAGAGGGUGACCGGCCACACUGGGACUGAGACACGGCCCAGACUCCUACGGGAGGCAGCAGUGGGGAAUAUUGCACAAUGGGCGGAAGCCUGAUGCAGCAACGCCGCGUGAGGGAUGACGGCCUUCGGGUUGUAAACCUCUUUUAGCAGGGAAGAAGCGAAAGUGACGGUACCUGCAGAAAAAGCGCCGGCUAACUACGUG